rnacentral:rRNA from 3 species
GAACGAACGCUGGCGGCAGGCUUAACACAUGCAAGUCGAACGCCCCGCAAGGGGAGUGGCAGACGGGUGAGUAACGCGUGGGAAUCUACCGUGCCCUGCGGAAUAGCUCCGGGAAACUGGAAUUAAUACCGCAUACGCCCUACGGGGGAAAGAUUUAUCGGGGUAUGAUGAGCCCGCGUUGGAUUAGCUAGUUGGUGGGGUAAAGGCCUACCAAGGCGACGAUCCAUAGCUGGUCUGAGAGGAUGAUCAGCCACAUUGGGACUGAGACACGGCCCAAACUCCUACGGGAGGCAGCAGUGGGGAAUAUUGGACAAUGGGCGCAAGCCUGAUCCAGCCAUGCCGCGUGAGUGAUGAAGGCCUUAGGGUUGUAAAGCUCUUUCACCGGAGAAGAUAAUGACGGUAU